rnacentral:tRNA from 1 species
ACCCCUAUGGCGUAAUGGCUAACGCGUUUGACUUCUAAUCAAAAGAUUCUCGGUUCGAGUCCGGGUAGGGGUG